AUAUCAAUAAGCGGAGGAAAAGAAACCAACAGGGAUUGCCUCAGUAACGGCGAGUGAAGCGGCAACAGCUCAAAUUUGAAAUCUGGCCCUAGGCCCGAGUUGUAAUUUGCAGAGGAUGUUUCUGGCGAGGUGCCUUCCGAGUUCCCUGGAACGGGACGCCAUAGAGGGUGAGAGCCCCGUACGGUUGGUCGCUAAGCCUCUGUGAAACUCCUUCGACGAGUCGAGUAGUUUGGGAAUGCUGCUCUAAAUGGGAGGUAUACGUCUUCUAAAGCUAAAUACCGGCCAGAGACCGAUAGCGCACAAGUA
rnacentral:rRNA from 1 species